UUUUGAGCUUGGUAACAGUGUUGUCUUCCUUCUUGGUUCAGAAGCAGAACUGAAUUAAUUUUAUCAUCAU